GUGACCGAGUAAGUAAAGCUAAAUAAAUGAAGCCGGAGAAACACAAGCCAAAGUGAAGUAUUGCUUAUUCUUAAUCCUGCCUCAUUUGGGGCACUUCUUUGUGAGAAUCCCGAAGUAGCUGAAGAUCCCUUCAAAGAAAAGCUAGUUAUAGAAAACUUAUCCCCGGCGCUCAUGUGACCAGAGGUCUGAAGUUGGGACCCCAUCCAUCCCUCAGUGAAGCCAGCAGGAGUCUUCCCAUUGACUUCAAUGGGCUUUUCAUCCAGCCUCUCCUUGGCCUUAAGUUCUUUGUGGUUACACUUCUUUCCUCCUUUCCUGAUAAUGCAGACAGGUUUCGAUGAAGUUCGCAUGCGGUACACAUCCCUCACACCCUGAGACAUGAGCUUCUAAGAGGGAUGCAGGUACCCAGAGCCUCGUCCCUGGGAGAAGGGACAUCUGUGGUGGCUGUGGUGGAAAGUGGUGGGAUACUGUCAGCCUCUGCAUCUCCACUGCCUCCUGCAGCUUCCCAUGGUCUUAUGGUUCAGAAGAAAUUUUAUUUCAAAGCUUGAAUUUUUGUGAGUCUUGUUGAUUCUUCCUGUUUUCUUUGAAUGCCAGCUGUUCCAGGAUUAAGUAAGUAAACCAUCUGAUUGACAAAAGCCACCAGCCUCGAACCCAGAGUUUUGGGUGUAUCUUUUAAGUGGUGUGCCACAAACCAAUAGCGAAUGCCCAUGUCAUCUAACAGAGCCGAAUCUGGCAGGGUGAUGUUAGUAUCUAACAGCAGAUACUGGUAGCUCAUGGAGAUUGGUAAAUGCACGUUCAAAAUCCAUGUUCUGGAAAUCCCCUCAGUUUAAAAAAAUGUUCCUUUCCACUAGGGGUACUUGUUAAGUUUGGGGCGAUUUGUGCUGCUGCCAUUAGAAUAUUGAAAAUGUGUUUCUGAAUGAAGUUAAUCCAUUACUUCGCAAUUCUGAGCUUCUGGAAGCAAAAGCCCACGUGGGCUGCUGCAUGCCACUGAGAUAUGCUGCACCAGUUCUGCAGUCUUCGAAACCUUCAUAAUCUUUUGUGUUUGCUGGUAGGGGCAGCCCACCCAGCAUAAAAAGGCAUGCAAAUGAUUUUAACAGGCAAGCAUUGUGUUGACCAAGGUUUCCAGUGUUAAACUAUCCAGAAAGAUUUAGACAAAUUUUUCCCUAUGGUAAAAUGCAUAUGUUAGUUUAAAGAUGAAGAGAAAUGAAAUGUGUUAUUUAUAGCCUGAAAUAUCCUUAAUAUUGCACACAUGUGUAUUUCACUUAAUCAUUGUUUUGAUAAAUGCCCACGCUGCUAAACACCUAAUGUACAACAGGAUGUGGUUCCCACUUAAAUUAGCAGAUGCUAUAGUUUCUGAUUGUUAAUGAUGGACCUGUUUGCCAAUAAAAACAACUGAUGGAUCAGCAUGUGUGAGCUACUGAACCUCAGCAAAAGCCCAAA